AACUUAGUAGCUCAACGGUUAGAGCAGUUGGCUGUUAACCAAAAGGUUACUGGUUCAAAUCCAGUCUAAGUCG
rnacentral:tRNA from 1 species